rnacentral:misc_RNA from 1 species
GCACCGCAAAACUUUCAAGCCUCUGCGCCAAGAACACCUGCCAAGAAUCCUCAACCGAUACCCACAUGUCUCCCACCUCGAUCUCUCCUUCUGUCCUCGAAUAAACGAUAAUUCUCUAACGGUCAUCUCGAAUAUCUGCAAGGAUUCGCUGAGGUCUAUUGAUCUUUCGCGCUCCAGGUUCUUUUCCUAUAAUGGAUUGAUGAGUUUAGCUUUGAAUUGCAAGAAUUUGGUUGACAUUGACUUGUCGAACGCGACGGAGCUGAGAGAUGCGGCGGCUGCGGCGGUGGCAGAGGCCAAGAAUCUGGAGAGGCUUUGGUUGGGGAGGUGCAAGUUGAUUACGGAUAUGGGUAUUGGGUGUAUUGUUGUUAGGUGCAAGAAGCUAAGAUUGAUUAGCUUGAAAUGAUGUUUAGGUGUUACUGAUUUGGGAGUUGACUUGAUUGCUGUCAAGUAUAAGGAGAUUCGGAGUUUGGAUCUCUCUUAUUUGCCGAUCACAAAUAAGUGUUUACCUUCCAUUCUGAAACUCCAAAAUCUUGAAGAUUUGGUUCUGGAAGGAUGCUUUGGUAUUGACGAUGAUAGCCUUACAGCCCUCAAACACGGUUGUAAGUCACUGAAGACGCUUGCUUUGUCAAGUUGUCAGAACAUUGGUCAUGUUGGUUUGUCUUCCCUGAUCAGUGGUGCUGGAGUUUUAGAGCUACCGACUUUGGCAUAUGGCUCUCCUGUCACUCUAGCGCUUGCUAAUAGUCUGAAAAAUCUUUCAGUAUUGCAAUCUGUCAAAGUAGAUGGUUGUCCAGUUACCUCUGCUGGAUUGAAGGCCCUUGGAAAUUUUCUUACAUCGCUUAGGGAGCUGAGCCUAAGUGUUUGGGAGUGACAGAUGAAGGUCUUGCCUCUGUUGUAAGAAAGCACAGAGAAUUAAGGAAGCUAGAUAUCACAUGCUGUCAAAAAAUAACUGAUGUUUCUGUUGCCCACAUUACAAGUUCACGCACAAAACUCACUUCUCUCAUAAUGGAAUCAUGUACUUUAGUUUCUAGAGAAGCAUUUACAUUGAUUGGACAGCGGUGCCAGUUUGGAACUUGAUUUAACAGAUAAUGAGAUAGAUGAUAAAGGUUUGAAGUCAAUUUCUAGAUGUUCAAAUCUAUCCAGCUUGAAAUUAGGAAUUUGCCUAAACAUAAGUGACGAGGGACUUGCUUAUCUUGGCACGCACUGCUCAAAACUUACUGAGCUUGACUUGUACAGGUAUCAAUUAACAUUUUUUAACUUUGUUUACUAUUUUUAUUCUCUUAGGUCAAUCUAUGUUUUCGUGGGGAUUUAUCUUAGUUCAGUUUAGCAAUGUGGCCUUUAACAUUUAUAAAUAGAAUAACUUUGCGUGAGCCAUGAUUUUUUUGUUUUCUUAUUUUUUGUGCAUGGAUUUAAGUGAAAUAGUGAGAUAUUCACAUUUGAGUGGACUGUGGUGGCUUGUUCAGGUCUUCUGAAAUAACAGAUUCAAGAAUUUUAGCAAUUGCUUCAGGUUGCCAUGACCUGCAGAUGAUUAAUAUGUCCUACUGUAGAGAUAUUACGGAUAGUUCUUUGAUAUCACUGUCAAAAUGCAUGAGGUUAAACACCUUUGAAAGUCGAGGAUGUCCUCUGGUCACGUGUUUGGGUAUAGUAGCCAUUGCACUCGGGUGUAAGCAACUCACUAAGUUAGACAUAAAGAAGUGUCAAAAUUUUGAUGAUACUGGGAUGCUUCCACUUGCUCACUUUUCGCAAAAUCUUAGACAGAUUAGUUUAUCAUAUAGCUCCAUCACAGAUGUGGGGCUUUUGUCCCUUGCCAGCAUCAGCUGCCUACAAAACAUGACUGUCUUGCACUUGGAGGGCUUGACUCCACGCGGAUUGGCAGCUGCCUUGUUGGCAUGUGGAGGACUAACAAAAGUGAAGCUCCAUGCAGCUUUUAAAUCACUGCUUCCCCAGCCACUUUUUGAGCAUUUGGAAGCACGUGGUUGUGUGUUUGAAUGGAGAGAGAAAAAAUUUCAGGCUGAAUUGGAUCCCAAGUGCUGGAAAUUACAGUUGGAAGAUUUGGUUCCAUAAAUAGUUUCACGGUUCGUUUUUUAAAAAAAGAGGAGUCCUUAAAGUGUAAUUGAAUGGGAGGUAAAGUUUCUAAUGCCAGCAAAGCUAGGUCCCAUCACUGCUAGGACUGAAGAAUGCCAAGUCCAUGAAUGUUGAAAUUCCGGGUGGAUUUGAUUUGCUUGUUCAAGAUUUGGAUUUGAUGUAACGAUCAUUUUUUAGCGCUUUUCAAUUGCAGUAUAUCAGAGAAGAAAAAUCUUGUUAUCCUUUUAAUUUAUUGGAUAGCAUCGAGGCAAGACACCUGUCUUGUGUAGGGUGUAACAUGCAAGUCAAAACGUUUUCAUUUUGAUAUUUUAGAUAUAAGAGAGGGAUUUUAUUGUAGAGGCGGCUGUAUUGAGCAUUUAUAA